rnacentral:rRNA from 1 species
UCCAGCAGCCAUAUCACCAUGCAGCUCUCUCAGCUCUGCAGCUGGCUACCCACUAAAGCUAAGCAGGGUUGAGCCUAGUUAGUACCUGGAUGGAAGAGACCUCUUGGGAAGCUAUGGUCCUUGCUGGAA